AUCCAGCUAACGAGUCCCAAAUAGGACAAAAUGCUCAUCCUGGAU
rnacentral:hammerhead_ribozyme from 1 species